AUUUUCAAUUGUUAUUUCAUUAUAAGAAAACAGGAGGAGCUUUUUCUCUCACUGCUGUUGUGUGUCUCGUCCACCAGGGGGCAGUGUGUGCUGAGUCCACAGUCAGACGGUGCUGUAGAUUUGGUUUGGGUCCAUGGUGUCCACACAGAGACUCUGAUCAGUAACAGCGGCACUGAGGUCAUCACCACGGCGACAGGGAUCAACAGGAGCCACAGCAGACGACUGGGACCUGACCAAGCGUCCACAUGGAACAAUAAAUGACAGAAGGAAAGAGAUGGAUGAUACUCGUGACAGUCAUAUUUACCUCUAAAAACUUCAGUCUGAAAUUCUACUGAGUUCCAACACGCAGGAUUUAAGGUUUUAAAUAUUGGUCAAAUUCAAUGCUCAAAAUUCUCACAAUCAUUUUUACAGAAGAACUUUUGUUUUGGAGAGUUAUAAAACACAUUUUCUGCACUGGUGAGUUUCUCUUCCACCGCACUGUUCAACACUUGAGUCAGAGUUAAAGGACGACUGGCAGUGCUCGUUUCCAUCUGCACUUUCUGCAACUUUAUGGUCUCUUCUUGAAUGUUGAUCAAUGAUAUUGUUGGGUCUGUUCUUACUUUAGCCACGUUCACACCAAACGCAAAUGGUGCGAACAAGGCCAACGAUUUACAUGUUAACCCAAUGUAAAGGAGCACUGACACACAAAUGAUGCGAGUUGAGCAGCAUGAUUUGUGCGUUUUGUGCGUUUUGAGCAGAGCCUACACCAGACUCUGUCCCCCUCUCCUUUAUUGUGGUCCCGGUCUGGUUCCAGUCUGGUCUCAGUCCCGGUCUGGUCAGUCCUCUCGAUGUGUCCAACUCCACCAUUUUUCCAAAUGAAACCAGAUGCAGAGGACUCUACACAGCUGCACUUGAUCCUUCUGGAGCGAAUAGAUCAGAUUUACACGCACGACCAAAUUCCCAAUCUCGAGCGAUCAGUACGCGAGAAUGAAACAAAUGACUCCAAAAAGUCAAGCGGCAAACUAGGGGCAUUUGACACAGUUUAUUCGCACCAUUCACGUUCGGUCUGAACGCGGCUUUAAGGUGACAUUCCAUAGGCCAUGGCUCUAAAACAUUCAUUUCAAUCCCAGGAGUAAUUCAGACAAGAUAAAUAAUCAUGGUCUCAUGUCAUGUGACAUGUGACACCAUCACCAAUAAUUAAAUAAAUAUUAUAGUUACUAUAAUAGUUACUGGUGGCGGUGACACUUGUAUUUGGAUGUUUUCAGUAAAUAAAAGCUGUUGACUGUU